rnacentral:rRNA from 1 species
GACGAACGCUGGCGGCGUGCCUAACACAUGCAAGUUGAGCGACGAACCAGGGCUUGCCCUGGGGCAAAGCAGCGAACGGGUGAGUAACACGUGGGUAACCUACCCCGAUAACCGGGACAACCCGAGGAAACUCGGGCUAAUAUCGGAUGUGCUCACUGGACUUCGGUUCAGUGCGUAAAGGAAGCUUCGGCCUCCGUAUCGGGAGGGGCCCGCGGCCCAUUAGUUAGUUGGUGAGGUAACGGCUCACCAAGACCGCGAUGGGUAGCUGGGCUGCGGGGACGAUCAGCCACACUGGGACUGAGACACGGCCCAGACUCCGACGGGAGGCAGCAGUGGGGAAGCUUGCGCAAUGCGCGAAAGCGUGACGCAGCAACGCCGCGUGGGGGAAGAAGGCCUUCGGGUUGUAAACCCCUUUCAGGAGGGACGAAGGUUCGGCGGUGAAUAGCCGUCCGGACUGACGGUACCUGCACAAGAAGCCCCGGCUAACUACGUGCCAGCCGCCGCCGUAA